rnacentral:tRNA from 1 species
GGCCCUGGGGUGUUACACGCAGGAUUGCAACCCCUGAGAUGCAAAGAAGUUUUGCCGGGGCUU